AUGGACAAGAGUAGAUCAGAGACGAACAAUGCUUUUGGUGGCUCCAAUAGUCAGAGGAACCACCUGUCUUCAUAUCCUCAAGAAACUUCAGACCGCGAAGAGAAAGCCAAGAAAGUGUCGCCACCUCGUGGGAAAGGGCUGCGGGAAGAAAAACCAGAUAGACCACCACAAAACUUGUCUUCAUAUGCCAAAGAAACUUCAGACCGUGAAGAGAAAGUGAAGAAAGUGUCGCCACCUCGUGGGAAAGGGCUGCGGGAAGAAAAACCGGAUAGACCACCACAAAACUUGUCUUCAUAUGCCAAAGAAACUUCAGACCGUGAAGAGAAAGUGUCUCCACCUCGUGGGAAAGUGUUGCGGGAAGAGAAACCAGAUAGACCACCACAAAACUUGUCUUCAUAUCCCCAAGAAACUUCAGACCGUGAAGAGAAAGCCAAGAAAGUGUCACCACCUCGUGGGAAAGGGCUGCGGGAAGAAAAACCAGACAGACCACAAAACUUGUCUAAAAGAGAGGUCAGGUCGUCAGACAUCCCUACCUUUACAAACUUCAGGCAGAACACAAGUGAAACUGUU
rnacentral:lncRNA from 1 species